GACGAACGCGGGCGGCGUGCUUAACACAUGCAAGUCGAACGAUGAAGCCUAGCUUGUUAGGUGGAUUAGUGGGGAACGGGUGAGUAAUACGUGAGUGACCUACCUUUGACUCUGGGAUAAGCCUGGGAAACUGGGUCUAAUACCGGAUACGACCAAUCUCCGCAUGGGGUGUUGGUAGAAAGCAAUAUGGAGUGGUUUUAGAUGGGCUCACGGCCUAUCAGCUUGUUGGUGAGGUAAUGGCUUACCAAGGCGACGACGGGUAGCCGGCCUGAGAGGGUGACCGGCCACACUGGGAUUGAGACACGGCCCAGACUCCUACGGGAGGCAGCAGUGGGGAAUAUUGCACAAUGGGCGCAAGCCUGAUGCAGUGACGCCGCGUGAGGGAUGACGGCCUUCGGGUUGUAAACCUCUGUUAGCAUCGAAGAAGCGAAA
rnacentral:rRNA from 1 species